rnacentral:rRNA from 1 species
UGGGGAAUAUUGGACAAUGGGCGCAAGCCUGAUCCAGCCAUGCCGCGUGAACGAUGAAGGCCUUAGGGUUGUAAAGUUCUUUUGUCAGGGAAGAUAAUGACGGUACCUGAAGAAUAAGCACCGGCUAACUUCGUGCCAGCAGCCGCGGUAAUACGAAGGGUGCUAGCGUUGUUCGGAAUCACUGGGCGUAAAGCGCACGUAGGUGGGCAGUUAAGUCAGGGGUGAAAGCCCGAGGCUCAACCUCGGAAUUGCCUCUGAUACUGGCUGUCUAGAGUUCGAGAGAGGUGAGUGGAAUUCCUAGUGUAGAGGUGAAAUUCGUAGAUAUUAGGAAGAACACCGGUGGCGAAGGCGGCUCACUGGCUCGAUACUGACACUGAGGUGCGAAAGCGUGGGGAGCAAACAGGAUUAGAUACCCACGUAGUCCCUGAGCGGGCUGGCAAGGCGCAU